rnacentral:rRNA from 1 species
UACAGAGGUCUCAAGCGUUGUUCGGAUUCAUUGGGCGUAAAGGGUGCGUAGGCGGCGCGGUAAGUCGGGUGUGAAAUCUCGGGGCUUAACUCCGAAACUGCAUUCGAUACUGCCGUGCUUGAGGACUGGAGAGGAGACUGGAAUUUACGGUGUAGCGGUGAAAUGCGUAGAUAUCGGGAGGAACACCGGUGGCGAAGGCGGCGAUCUGGGUCGAUACUGACGCUGAGGUGCGAAAGCGUGGGGAGCAAACAGG